AUACCUAGAACCGCAACCUGAUCUUAAAAGCCUAAGUAUUGUAUCCUUGUUA
rnacentral:sRNA from 1 species